rnacentral:misc_RNA from 1 species
UCCGUAGGUGAACCUGCGGAAGGAUCAUUACAGAAAGUAAACGCGGAUCAAACCGCGAACUUCUAAACCUUUGACGAUCGACUCAUGUUGCCUCGGCGGGUGCUCCCGCCAGAGGAUACAUCAAAACUCAUGUUUUAACGGUGUUGUCUGAGCUACAAGCAACGAAUCAAAACUUUCAACAACGGAUCUCUUGGUUCUGGCAUCGAUGAAGAACGCAGCGAAAUGCGAUAAGUAGUGUGAAUUGCAGAAUUCAGUGAAUCAUCGAAUCUUUGAACGCACAUUGCGCCCCUUGGUAUCCCGAGGGGCAUGCCUGUUCGAGCGUCAUUUCACCACUCAAGCCUGGCUUGGUGUUGGGCGACGUCCCCUUUGGGGACGCGCUUCGAAACGCUCGGCGGCGUGGCAUCGGCUUUAAGCGUAGCAGAAUCUUUCGCUUUGAAAGUCGGGGCCCCGUCUGCCGGAAGACCUACUCGCAAGGUUGACCUCGGAUCAGGCAGGGAUACCCGCUGAACUU